rnacentral:rRNA from 1 species
CGAAAUAAUAAUUUUCUUUUACCCUGCAGUCGUUUGUUUUCAAGCUACAAUAUCUGCUCGAAAAAUUGUUUCAAAGCUCUGAGGGGUCUGAAUGAAUUCAUAAAAUUGGCAAAAGCCACCUAUAAACUACGGUUCUUAGGGGGUGAUCAAACCAAGGUUUUAAAAACCAAAUACGUUAAAACUUUCAACAACGGAUCUCUUGGUUCUGGCAUCGAUGAAGAACGCAGCGAAAUGCGAUAAGUAAUGUGAAUUGCAGAAUUCAGUGAAUCAUCGAAUCUUUGAACGCACAUUGCGCCCAUUAGUAUUCUAGUGGGCAUGCCUAUUCGAGCGUCAUUACAACCCUUAAGCCUUGUAGCUUAGCGUUGGGAAUCUACCCCUCACUGAGGGGUAGUUCCUUAAAUUUAGUGGCGGGGUUAUAGCACACUCUAAGCGUAGUAGUUUAACUCGCUUUCAGGGAGGCUGUAGCUGCUUGCCGUAAAACCCCCUAUAACUUAUAGUGGUUGACCUCGGAUUAGGUAGGAAUACCCGCUGAACUUAAGCAUAUCAAUAAGCGGAGGAAAAGAAACCAACAGGGAUUGCCCCAGUAACG